UACGGAGGAUGCAAGCGUUAUCCGGAAUGAUUGGGCGUAAAGCGUCCGCAGGUGGCAGUGUAAGUCUGCUGUUAAAGAGCAAAGCUUAACUUUGUAAAAGCAGUGGAAACUACACAGCUAGAGUAUGGUCGGGGCAGAGGGAAUUCCUGGUGUAGCGGUGAAAUGCGUAGAGAUCAGGAAGAACACCGGUGGCGAAGGCGCUCUGCUAGGCCAUAACUGACACUGAGGGACGAAAGCUAGGGGAG
rnacentral:rRNA from 1 species